GCGAGUGAAGCGGGAAAAGCUCAAAUUUGAAAUCUGGCGGUCUCCGGCCGUCCGAGUUGUAAUUUAGAGAAGCGUUAUCCGUGCUGGACCGUGUAUAAGUCUCCUGGAAUGGAGCGUCAUAGAGGGUGAGAAUCCCGUCUUUGACACGGACUACCAGUGCAUUGUGAUGCGCUCUCGACGAGUCGAGUUGUUUGGGAAUGCAGCUCAAAAUGGGUGGAAAAUGCCAUCUAAAGCUAAAUAUUGGCGAGAGACCGAUAGCGAACAAGUACCGUGAGGAAAAGAUGAAAAGAACUUUGAAAAGAGAGUUAAACAGUACGUGAAAUUGUCGAAAGGGAAACGGUUGCAGUCAGCCGCGUCCGCCGGGGAUCAACCUUGCUUUUGCUUGGCGUAUUUCCCGGUGGAUGGGUCAGCAUCAGUUUUGACCGCAGUUGACAGGCUGGAGGAAUGUGGCACCUUCGGGUGUGUUAUAGCCUCCUGUCAUAUGCUGCGGUUGGAACUGAGGAACUCAUCACGCCGCAAGGCCGGGAUUCGUCCCCGUUCGUGCUUAGGAUGCUGGCAUAAUGUCUGUAACCGACCCGUCUG
rnacentral:rRNA from 1 species